UUUCAAAUUCCAAAAUUACCCCUCAAUGGGUAGUACUACACCCACGCAUCUUCACCUUCAGCAUUUUCAAUCCUCCAUUUCCAUUCCACUUGUGGUUCCCUUCUGCAAUGUAUACUAUCUCCAUUCUCUAAUCCAAUAAUUCACUGAGCAAGUUGCCCUCCUCGAUCGAAUCAUCGGAACAUUUCUCUGUAUUACUCUGUUAAUCGCCAUUGUAGUCUAUCUAGGGUUACUUUAUUUACUAAUAAAAAUGUUUUUUGUUUCUUCGUUUGUGGAUUAUCGGGCCACCAGAAACCGUUUAGACUGCUUUACUCCUUAAGGAGACGUUAAAUUGUGGAAUUAUGGGAGAAACUCCGGCGAAAGCGCUUCAGAGGAUCCUGGAUUCGCCUGGUGUUCAUUUAAGAAAUACAUAAUUGCUAAUUUUUCUUCAACUUCAACAUUAAUACCAGCUAAAGCAUUGGAACUGUUCCUACAAGACCUCUGUGAUCAUUCUGAUGCUGCGGUUGAUGAUAGAAAGAGGAGAAAACCCGUCGGUAUGAUGGCAAUGAUUUUGAUGAGUUGAAGAAGAGCAAACAAGGAUGAUUGUGCUUUCCUUUUUUUAAUUCCUUUGAGGUGAUUUCGUUAGGAUUUGGAGAGAUUGUGGAGUGUAGGUUCAUCAAUAGAGGUCUAAUUUGGGUUUUCUUAGUUUAUACUUUGGCUAGGGAUUGAGUAGCGUGCCUUAGGUUGUGAUUGUUAUAUAAUUGUCAUUUGAUUGCUAUUUGAUUGUCUUGAGAUUGCUAUUUGAUUUUUAUCUAAUUUCUAUCUGAUUACCAUCCUUGGUAUUUUAUAAUAUAAAUCUGAGUUAUAUCAAUGUGAUUGCAAUCUGAUUCUUAUUUAAUUUCUAUUAUAGAAGUAUUGUAGAGUAAACUACAUUAUAUUGCCUCCGAUUGUUAAACGUCAAGCAAAGACCUUAGAAGCAAAGAAUUCCUUAAAUUGUUGAAUUGACAAAGCACAUGAAGUGUAGGCGUUAUAAGCAUGUUGGUCAUAAUAGAAGAAUAUGUAAAUUUACAUAUGUUUGAACAAUCAUAUUGUGGACAUUAAGAUAUAUUUGUUAUUUGUUUUCAUGUGAGUACAACAGUGUAUUAUUUUAGUUGUUUUUUUGUGCAUUAAUAGAUUGUUUUAGCAAUAAAUAUAAGAUAAUAAUGAUGGAUAACAUUUAUAUGGUAAUUAGAUAAUAAUCAGUAGACAAUCAGUUGGCAAUAUAAAAAACGACUAACUAUGGCAAUCAGAUGACAAGAAGAUAUUCCUUGUGUAAAGUUUUGUUCUUGACUCAAAUCAAAUCUCAAAUCACUAUUGUUGUUAUUGUUUUAUUAUUAUUUUAAAACCUUCCCUUCUCUCAAAUUUUAAACUAAUGGAUAGAAAAUGGAAUGUAAUCAAAUUACAAUUAGAAACUAUUAACUAAAAGACAAAAAAAGAAGAUAAUCAAAUAAUAAUGGACAUUGAAGAGGGUGUACAAUGUUGGUUUAAAACCGACAUUAAAGAUAAUUGAUAACAGAUAGAAAUGCACGCCAUUAUAGGCCUUUUAUUUAGAAUUAUGAGGGCUGUUAAGUAGAAGAUGCAACGAUUAUACUUAGAAUUCAUGAGAAAAUGAGCUUGCAUCGAUCGGUAUUAAGAAUCUCGGCUAACCCAUUAUUAUGCGUUAUUAUGCGUUCAAAUGUCUAUCUUUAUAGCUAACACAGGAAGUGGUCGCAUAUGCGGAAGCCAGGCUAUCGCAAAGAUGCCCACAUGUGGGGAAGCUCUCCAUCGCAUAGGCGAACGCAUACAUCAACGCAUGGAUGUUGCGGCCAUCGCAUAGAAGUUGCAGUUGUCAAGCGAAUGCGGUCAUCGUAGAGAGAUGUGGCUAGAGAAUAAUAACCAUAAUAGAGGGAUGACUGCAAGGGUGGUGGAAUGCUUUGAUACUCCAGAAACCAAGCAUAAAACAUACCUCGAGAGUAUCAAAAGGUGAUGUUGGCAUUUCACCUACUACGCCGUUAGCAACAGAGAUUCAGAGCGGAUCCAUCACGUCCAUCACGCCGUUAGCUGCAGAAUUUCAGAGAAGGACCAUUAAUGCUGUCGGCGAUCAAACUCUAUAAAUAGAAGCCGUUGAGUAGAACUUCAAUUUAUCCAAGGUUUUUUGCCUGAGGUUCUCUGCCUUAGGGUUGAUCCUCGUGAUCCAGACCAAAGCGUGAGAAGAUAGUCUUGAGAGUUUUUCAUCCCUUCAAUCAUUCCGAGUGACAACUGGAGCCUUCACUGAAGUUAGAGCACGAGAGAGUCUACUCCACCGCCCAUCUAUGGCACCACCGGAAGCCUUGACACACAUCUGAUAGAAGCAAGACAUUACUUCCAUCCGCCCCUUCAUAUCUCUUCUAUCCUUGUAUUGUAUUACAUUUUGGCUUAAGAGAUUAAUACAUUUUGUGAUCAAUGCAUUUCUAUAUUUUCCUUCAA